UACAUCAUUACAUCCAAAUGACUAUUAUUAGCUAACAUGUAAUGCAUGUGUUACGCAGGUAUGUAGUUACAUCAUUACAUCCAAAUGACUAUUAUUAGCUAACAACAGCCACAUGUAAUGCAUGUGUUACGCAGGUAUGUAGUUACAUCAUUACAUCCAAAUGACUAUUAUUAGCUAACAACUAAUGCAUGUGUUACGCAGGUAUGUAGUUACAUCAUUACAUCCAAAUGACUAUUAUUAGCUAACAUCUAAUGCAUGUGUUACGCAGGUAUGUAGUUACAUCAUUACAUCCAAAUGACUAUUAUUAGCUAACAACUAAUGCAUGUGUUACGCAGGUAUGUAGUUACAUCAUUACAUCCAAAUGACUAUUAUUAGCUUACAACUAAUGCAUGUGUUACGCAGGUAUGUAGUUACAUCAUUACAUCCAAAUGACUAUUAUUAGCUAACAUCUAAUGCAUGUGUUACGCAGGUAUGUAGUUACAUCAUUACGUCCAAAUGACUAUUAUUAGCUAACAUCUAAUGCAUGUGUUACGCAGGUAUGUAGUUACAUCAUUACAUCCAAAUGACUAUUAUUAGCUAACAACUAAUGCAUGUGUUACGCAGGUAUGUAGUUACAUCAUUACAUCCAAAUGACUAUUAUUAGCUAACAACUAAUGCAUGUGUUACGCAGGUAUGUAGUUACAUCAUUACAUCCAAAUGACUAUUAUUAGCUAACAUCUAAUGCAUGUGUUACGCAGGUAUGUAGUUACAUCAUUACAUCCAAAUGACUAUUAUUAGCUAACAUCUAAUGCAUGUGUUACGCAGGUAUGUAGUUACAUCAUUACGUCCUAGAAGCUGAAAGAAGGAGGGAUAUGCUGUGUGAAAUCAAUUGGAAAGUUAGCGCCCUCUAGACAUCUGUGUAAAUGUUGCAAACAGCCCCUUUAAGGGCUUUGCAAAUGUUCCAGUCUGAAGUGAGACCUUAACUAGAUGAAGGAAUUGUGCUGACAAACUGCUCAGCACAGACUUUAGAAAUAUAGCGGCAGGGUAUCCGCGGAUCCUUAAAAAGUCUUAAAAAGUCUUAAAUUCAUGUAUCUAAAAUUAAGGCCUUAAAAAGUAUUACAUUUAUUAGAAAUUCCUAAGAUGGUCUUAAAUUCAGUACUCAAUGGUCUUAAAUUGUCGGGCCAGUUUUGGGGGGGUUUUUUUCGGGGCACGUCUUUGAGUAAAAGUUACAGCACGUCUUUGAGUAAAAGUGAGUGAUUUCAGUGUCAGUCGCGCGCAUAGUCGGGUCGCACGCAGACUCCUUCCUUUCUUCCUGGCGUCCCGCCUUUCAGUCAGCAUGGGGAAAUGCAAGUUUUGCGAGUGUUGGCUGGAGGACAGCCGGUUUAAAAGCUGUCUUAAGCCUGUUGCCAAUCCCGAGGAGGCCAGGUGCUUACUUUGUAAGAGGGAUUUCAAACAUGAGAAUUAGAGCUGUGGAAUCGCACAUGCAGUGCGGUAAGCAUAAAAUGGCGGCAGAGAGCCAAAAACAAACACCGGGCAUCUCUCAGUUCUGCUUGGGUCCAGCGCCAACACCCCCCCCAGCUAGCAACAACUGCCGCUAGCAGCACUGACCUGACACUAAUCUUCGGCGGGACAGCAACAUUAAAAUCCCAGGUGUUAUGGAUCUUGCACACUGUGGUGAAACAUCAAUCCUACACCUCAACUGACGGGAUUGGCCAUCUUUUUCGUGUGAUGUUUCCUGAUUCUCAGGUUGCUAAUACAUUUUCCUGGGGAAGGGAUAAAACAGCAUAUAUUAGCAGACACGGAUUAGCACCUCACAUCCAAAAGCUGCUAUUCGACUAAGUCAACGGGUCUCGGUAUGUGUUAAUGUUCGAUGAAACACUGAAUCACAGCACGAAGAAGAAACAACUGGAUGUCCAUGUUUUGUUGUUAAUGUUAUAAUACUGUUUUGCACUAUUAUUGACCAAAUGUCAUUUAUUUUUACCCUCACCUGGGUUAUUAUGUUUUUACUGGCGUUGGUGUUGCUUUGUUUGUUUUGGAUUUCAAAGUUUUUGGAUCUCUCAAGAUUUUUGAUAAGCUGUUUGGCAGAGUGGUGCUUAUCAGUUUGUUUAUUAAUAAACAUACAAAAAGUAAACUUGACUGAUUGUCAUUGAGGUUGUAGUACAGUGGGAUCCCCAACCAUCGCUUAUAUUUAUAGAUUUUUUUAUCAUUUUUUCCGGUCUUAAAUUUCACUCAAGGUGGCAUUAAAAAGGUCUUAAAAAGUCUUACAUUUGACUUGCUGAAACCUGCAGAUACCCUGUAGUGGGUAACUCAUCAAGGUGUGUAUGUUAAUGUUAGAUAUGUGCCGUCUCCAAGCAGAAGAACAUCUUUCACCUUGGCUCUUGGCACAGUUGUUGUGUCCAUCUGACGCUUUCUGCUGACUUCACCCAUUUUAGACUUUUCUUUCUGUUUGGGAUCGUCAGUCACAUUUGGCACUUCUGCCUUGCAUGGGUUAGAUUCCAAGCCAGUGUUGGAUCAGGAAGUAAAAACUAAAGCUGAAACAAUUCAUGCCAUUGAAUCGCUGUGGCCAAACUACUAAAAGUGGGAGCAGGGGAAAAGUGUGAGGCUGAAUCUUCUGGUGGCAAAGCAUCCAAGAAAAGGAAAGUGAAAUGUGAAAUCCGACACGGUAAAGCCAAACAUUGACUGGACGCUUGUUUCAAGCCACUUAAAGUCCUACUGAAAGCCACUACUAGCCACCACGCAGUCUGAUAGUUUAUAUAUCAAUGAUGAAAUAUUAACAUUGCAACACAUGCCAAUACGGCCGCUUUAGUUUAAUAAAUUGCAAUUUUAAAUUUCCCGUGAAGUAUCCUGUUGAAAACGUUGCGGUAUGAUGACGCGUAUGAUGAGGCGUGCGCGUGAUGUCACGGAUUGUAGCGGACAUGUUGUUCCAGCCCCGAUCCCAGCUUUAAGUCGUCUGCUUUAAUCGCAUAAUGACACAGUAUUCUAGACAUCUGUGUUGCUGAAUCUUUUGCAAUUUGUUCAAUUAAUAAUGGAGACGUCAAAGAAGAAAGAUGUAGGUGGGAAGCGGUGUAUUGUGGCUGCCUUUAGCAACACAAACACAGCCGGUGUUUCCUUGUUUACAUUCCCGAAAGAUGACGUUGAAGCUUUACUAUGGAACAGAGCGGUCAAGCGAACACGGUUCCCUAACACAUGUCAAACGGCAGGUUUCGGUGAGAAAAUUGUGGUAAUAAGUUGGCUCUUACCGUAGACAUGCGCGGAGAGCAUGCGUCGUUCCUCCUGCACCUGUCAAAGAGGCAGCUGCGGACUCUCUUGCCUCCUCCGACCGGCUGCCCCCGAACGUGGGAUGCUUCCACCGUGGAGGAGGGGGAAGAAAAGCUCAGCCUGGCCCUAAUGGCUGCCUUCGCUUCGCCUUGUCGGGAAACGUGGCUUCCCUCAGAGACACUGGCGGUCACCACACCCGUGGCCACACCCCUCCGACUUUCAGGUACCAUAUAAUCUCACUAAAACACUAGUAACGCUCUCAACUGCUCAGCGGAAUCUCAGAGAGCUGAAAGUUUUUUGAUAAUUUACACACAAUUUUUCUAACAGUAACACAAUAAGCAGAUAAGGGAUUUUCCAGAAUUAUCCUAGUAAAUGUGUUUAAUAACAUCUGAACCGCUCCCACUGCCGUCGCCUUUUUUUUCAUUUUUUUCAUAGUCCUUCACUCUAACUUUCCUCAUCCACAAAUCUUUCAUCCUCGCUCAAAUUAAUGGGGAAAUUGUCGCUUUCUCGGUCCGAAUCACUCUAGCUGCUGGUGGCCAUGAUUGUAAACAAUGUUCAGAUGUGAGGAGCUCCACAACCCGUGACGUCACGCGCACAUUGUCUGCUACUUCUGGUACAGGCAAGGCUUUUUUAUUAGCGACCAAAAGUUGCGAACUUUAUCGUGGAUGUUCUCUACUAAAUACUUUCAGCAGAAAUAUGGCAAUAUGGCGAAAUGAUGAAGUAUGACACAUAGAAUGGAGCUGCUAUCCCCCUUUAAAUGAGAACAUCUCAUUUCAGUAGGCCUUUAAGAGCAGGGACCAUCAUGAAAGAUAAAGAUGGUACAUUUCAACAUGAUAAGAUCUGCUACUAUGAAUAUUACUGAGUUACCUGUUACAUCUCAGGACAACAGGUGUGUACUUGUGGUUUAAAGACUACUUUACACGCUAUGUCAACCUUUUCCAGCGUGUCUUUACAGUAGCAAAAUGUAUGUUUGAGGACUAUAUCAGACAACAUGGGUUGCCAGAGUGUAGUCACACAGACCAGGUAGGCAAUUGGAGUCAGACCUUGUAAAACACUUUGGAAAACCUUGCUGGAAUAGUUACCUCUACUGCCCCCCAGUGGCCGUUAGAAAGGAUGCACACAUUUUGUGUUGAAGUCCUUAAAGCUGUCUUUCACUUUUUGUCUUGUCCUUUGUGUCCCAGAUGAAGUCGUGAGUGGCUCGGGGGAGGAUAGGCGGGACAUUAGCUUUUCUUUUUUACAAGAACUUUGCUGACAAAAGGCAAGUGUUUGUGGGCGUUACUGUACAUGUUGGUAUUGAUCACACCACCCAGUAAAUUCAAGGAACGUUUUCAAAAUCAUUGAAUGGUUUAGACUUUCAUUUUGUGAACAAUAUAAACAUAUAUUAAUAUAAACAUAUGGAGGAGUCAGAUGGGGUGGUUAGGGCAUCUGGUCAGGAUGCCACCUGAACGCAUAGGGAGGUGUUUAGGACACGUCUGACCGGUAGGAGGCCACCAGGAAGACCCAGGACACCUUGGGAAGACUAUGUCUCCGGGAUGGCCUGGGAACGCCUCGGGAUCCAGGAGCUGGACGAAGUGGCUGGGGAGAGCGAAGUGUGGGUUUCCCUGCUUAGGCUGCUGCCCCCGCGACCCGACCUCAGAUAAGCGGAAGAAGACGGAUGGAUGGAUGAAUAAACAUAUAUGAAUACAACAAUAGUCGUGUGGAGAGAGAGUUUGGCCAACCCGGGUUUGGAGUCAGUGUCUAACAAGGCGCCCUCUAGUCACCUGAGGGGAUUUGACCAACUAUUACAUCUCAUGCUCUUCUUUCACCCUUUCAAUUGUCAAUCAACCUGGCAUCCAUCAGUCAACCUGGUGUUCAGAGGGAAUAAAAAAAAGGGAAUAAGCGGUAGAAAAUGGAUGGACAAGGUGUAUCGCCACAAUUUUAACCACUUCUGUCAUUGCAACGAAUGACGCACGGGGGCGCCACUAACUCCCAUCGCAUCAUUUAUUUUUUAAAUGAUGAUAUUUUUUAAAUGAAGCACUUACUAAAAACCUAACAAAAAAUAUAUUUUACCUUUUCAGAAAUAAAUGAAUUAUUAUAAAAGAGUAAAAAAAAUCGUUUUGUUUUCCAUUUAAGGCUGCUAGAUACAUCUUUAAGGUGUGCGAUUUCAUAAAGAACAACGUAUUUUUUAAUGUUUGUUUUGUAUGUAAUGGUUUAUGAUGACAUUGUUAUUGAAGUACAGAUGACACCAAAGAACGCGACCCCAAAAGGGGAAUAAGCGGUAGAAAAUGGAUCGAUGGAAGGACUAAAGAAGCAUGGUAAGUAAGUGAGGGCUUCACGGUGGCAGAGGGGUUAGUGCGUCUGCCUCACAAUACGAAGGUCCUACAAUCCUGGGUUCAAAUCCAGGCUCGGGAUCUUUCUGUGUGGAGUUUGCAUGUUCUCCCCGUGAAUGCGUGGGUUCCCUCCGGGUACUCCGGCUUCCUCCCACUUCCAAAGACAUGCACCUGGGGAUAGGUUGAUUGGACCGAUGGGGUGAUAAAGCAAGAUGGCGUCUGACGGAGAAGGCCUAAAGGCGGGCAUUAUAUUUCUGUAUUUUUACAUAUAUGUUGUUUCAUAGAGUACACACGGUUAAUAAUUGUUUGUAGCCGGAUACAUCAGUCUGAGUUUACUUCUCCUGUUUGAUAGCUUCACUUAAGGUAGCUUGCAGCUAGUUUAGCUGGCUAGUUAGCUUAGCUUGUUAGCUGCUAACAAAGAGACAAGGACGUUAUUUAAACAUCGCUAAGUAGGGAACUAAUGUGAGUGUAAAGUCUUGUGAUUGUGGGAAAAUGUGCCAAAGAAGGAGAGCAAAGUACGAGGAGGAACUUUGUCCAAGAAAAGAGGAGAAGGAGCGACAACAUCAACUACUGGAUGUUUAUUAUAGGAAACAUCAUCAAGUUGUGUUACACAGAACAGCUUUGUUUACUUCUUACUCUCACAUCUUUACUAACUUUAUACUUCAUUACAAACAUCAUUCUUAAAUAUAUUGUGGAUGACAAGUUUGGUUGUCUUGUGAGGAUGAUGUAAAUACAGUUGUGUUCAAAAGUUUACAUACACUUGUAAAGAACAUCAUGUCAUGGCCAUUUGCAAUCAUUUCUACAACCCUUAUUUUGUGUGAUGUAGUGAUUGGAGCACAUACUUGUUGCUCACUAAA